rnacentral:rRNA from 1 species
UACGGAGGGUGCAAGCGUUAUCCGGAAUCACUGGGUUUAAAGGGUGCGUAGGCGGCCUUGUAAGUCAGAUGUGAAAGCCCACCGCUUAACGGUGGAACUGCAUUUGAUACUGCAAAGCUUGAAUCAGGCUGAGGUCAGCGGAAUGUGUCAUGUAGCGGUGAAAUGCAUAGAUAUGACAUAGAACACCAAUUGCGAAGGCAGCUGGCUAGACCUGUAUUGACGCUGAGGCACGAAAGCGUGGGGAGCGAACAGG